rnacentral:rRNA from 1 species
UAAUUCCAGCUCCAAUAGCGUAUAUUAAAGUUGUUGCAGUUAAAAAGCUCGUAGUCGGAUCUGAGGCGCCGGCGGGCGGUCCCUCUUCGCGAGGGUCUACUGCCCGCUCCGGCCCUGACCCGCCGGCGAGCGGCCGGUGCCCUUGACUGGGUGCCGGCAGCGGCCGGAACGUUUACUUUGAAGAAAUUAGAGUGUUCAAGGCAGGCGGUUCGCCUGAAUGGUGGUGCAUGGAAUAAUGGAACAGGACCCCGGUUCUAUUCUGUUGGUCUUCGGAACUCGAGGUAAUGAUCAAGAGGGACGGACGGGGGCAUUCGUAUUGCGGUGUGAGAGGUGAAAUUCUUAGAUCGCCGCAAGACGGGCUGCUGCGAAAGCGUCUGCCAAGAACGUUUUCAUUGAUCAAGAACGAAAGUCAGAGGCUCGAAGACGAUCAGAUACCGUCCUAGUUCUGACCAUAAACGAUGCCGACUAGCAAUCCGCCGGAGUUGUUUGCAUGACCCGGCUGGCGGCUUCCGGGAAACCAAAGUCUUUGGGUUCCGGGGGAAGUAUGGUUGCAAAGCUGAAACUUAAAGGAAUUGACGGAAGGGCACCACCAGGAGUGGAGCCUGCGGCUUAAUUUGU